rfam:Candidate division TA06 bacterium 34_109 MPJ_scaffold_270, whole genome shotgun sequence.
CGGGGCAUAGCGCAGUCCGGUUUAGCGCGCCUGUUUUGGGAGCAGGAAGUCGCUGGUUCAAAUCCAGCUGCCCCGA